rnacentral:rRNA from 1 species
GUCUACAAUGAUAUUAUCCUGAACAUGUCUGAUCUUGUCUGAUCUCAGAAGCUAAGCGGGACCUGGUUAGUACUUGUAUGAGACAGUGUCUAAAAAUAGCACUUGAAGUCU